AGUUAAUGAACUUGUAAAGUAUAUAUUUUGAAAGUAUAAAAAAGAAGUAAAACCUUCUAUUAACUU
rnacentral:tRNA from 1 species